CCCUUAUUCUUCCCCGUUCUGCUGGUUCUUCUCUCCGUUGACUAUUACCUUGCCGAGGAGAUUCAUUGGGAAAGUGUGCCAGUCGAACACGACUACUGCGACUACAACGGUACGCUACUCAAGGAUGGCCUCAACUACGACAAGGUGUACGAUUGGUGCGGUCUCGUGAAGUGCAACGCCUCAGCCGCAGCCGUCGAGAUCACCAAGUGUACAAUCCCUCCUGGCUGUGAAGAACCGAAGGGGGGUUCUUACCCACAAUGUUGUGAGCACCUCAUAUGCCACUAACAGCUAACGACUGCGUUCGUUACGAAAAAUAGCACGCAAUAAAAAGUAUGAAAACUAGA